rnacentral:rRNA from 1 species
CCUACGGGAGGCAGCAGUGGGGAAUAUUGGGCAAUGGUCGCAAGCCUGACCCAGCAACGCAGCGUGAAGGAAGAAGGCUUUCGGGUUGUAAACUUCUUUUGUCAGGGACGUAGAAAGUGACGGUACCUGACGAAUAAGCCACGGCUAACUACGUGCCAGCAGCCGCGGUAAUCCGUAGGUGGCAAGCGUUAUCCGGAUUUACUGGGUGUAAGGGGCGUGUAGGCGGGACGGCAAGUCAGAUGUGAAAACCACGGGCUCAACCUGUGGCCUGCAUUUGAAACUGUAGUUCUUGAGUACUUGAGAGGUAGACGGAAUUCCUAGUGUAGCGGUGAAAUGCGUAGAUAUUAGGAGGAACACCAGUGGCGAAGGCGGUCUGCUGGACAGCAACUGACGCUGAGGCGCGAAAGCGUGGGGAGCAAACAGGAUUAGAUACCCGUGUAGUC